AUGAACGCUGGCGGCGUGCCUCAUACAUGCAAGUCGAGCGAACGGACGAGAAGCUUGCUUCUCUGAUGUUAGCGGCGGACGGGUGAGUAACACGUGGAUAACCUACCUAUAAGACUGGGAUAACUUCGGGAAACCGGAGCUAAUACCGGAUAAUAUUUUGAACCGCAUGGUUCAAAAGUGAAAGACGGUCUUGCUGUCACUUAUAGAUGGAUCCGCGCUGCAUUAGCUAGUUGGUAAGGUAACGGCUUACCAAGGCAACGAUGCAUAGCCGACCUGAGAGGGUGAUCAGCCACACUGGAACUGAGACACGGUCCAGACUCCUACGGGAGGCAGCAGUAGGGAAUCUUCCGCAAUGGGCGAAAGCCUGACGGAGCAACGCCGCGUGAGUGAUGAAGGUCUUCGGAUCGUAAAACUCUGUUAUUAGGGAAGAACAUAUGUGUAAGUAACUGUGCACAUCUUGACGGUACCUAAUCAGAAAGCCACGGCUAACUACGUG
rnacentral:rRNA from 1 species